GAUGAAGAACGCAGCGAAAUGCGAUAAGUAAUGUGAAUUGCAGAAUUCAGUGAAUCAUCGAAUCUUUGAACGCACAUUGCGCCCCUUGGUAUUCCGAGGGGCAUGCCUGUUCGAGCGUCAUUAUAACCCUCAAGCUCAGCUUGGUGUUGGGGCCUGCUGCACUGGCAGCCCUUAAAAUCAGUGGCGGCGCCAUCUGGCUCUAAGCAUAGUAAUUCUUCUCGCUAUGGAGUCCUGGUGGAUGCUUGCCAUCAACCCCCAAUUUUUCUAUGGUUGACCUCGGAUCAGGUAGGGAUACCCGCUGAACUUAAGCAUAUCAAUAAGCGGAGGA
rnacentral:misc_RNA from 1 species